UUGCCAGCAAGAGGUUGUCUUCAAAAGGUGUUCACUUCUUUAAAAAUGAGAGAAGCUUGCUGUAAUUGGCAUCUGUUUCACCUAAGGUGUGGGGUUGAUUUGUUUGGUUUGCAUGUGAAGAUGAUCUUCAUAGUGCAUCACAAGGAAAAAGAAACAAAAGGAACAACUGAUCAUCCAUAAAGGAAAAGUACUGAAGGAAUAACAGAGGCAAUGCAAAUAAAAAAAAAUCCUGGGAAGGAUGAAAAUGAGAAAAUACCAAAAAAGUUUGUAGAAGAAAAAUAAGAAAUAGGAAAACAAAAUUCAGAUAUAGCAAGGUCUUUGAGGGUUUUUUUUUUGCGGGAAAGCGGUGCCUGGUCAUGUGUACUUUAACUGCAGAGAGAAGCUGGCAAUAAAGGCUUGGACAGAUUACCAGAAGCUGAAUAUUUAUGACUGGCAGACAGAAUAAAAGGUUUAUUGCUCUUGAGAAGACAUAAUCCUAAAAAGUUGUACUCUAUAUUUGCAAACUUCAGCAGAAGAGCGGCAUCUCAAAGAGAGGUGCUGAAGGACAAUUGUAAAAGCAACUCCGUGUAGCAAUGUGCAGUAAUGUGAAAUGGCUGACGAGUUUAAUCUGCUGAAUAUUUAUUUAUUUUUUGUUAAUAUUUAGCAACUUUAUUUUAGGAAAGGGGGGGCAUUGGGCAGCAAGCAAGGAGGAGAGCUCGGUUAGCACAGCAGUGGUGCUGAGGUUAAAGCUGUAGGACAGCAACUCUCACAGCGAAGGGGCCGAUCCAUAAACUCUGUAAUUUCUGUGGGCAAAGUUCCCACAGAAAAUGGCUGCAUACAUAAAGCCCUGUGUUAUUGCUGAGUAUUUAUGUAAGCUGUUCUUAAAAGCAUUCAGUGAUUGGAGUUCUGUGAAGUAGCUUAGCUGUCAGAACAGAUUGGGUAAAGAUUUCUGUAGCUAAAAAUCUUCAGUUACUCGCGUAACUGAACUACCGUUACGGUAAGCUUGGUCUGCCCAGAGUGGGCAUAGGCACUCAUUCCCUCCAAGGGAGUUCCCAUGCCUACAUUACCACGUUCCCUCUCAGUCUGCUGUUCUCUGCCUAGCCAGGAUUAAUAUUCAGUCAGAGCAGGAAAACAACAGUGUUUGAGCAGAAUACCGAUAUCAAGAAAAACCGCUUGAAGCUGAUUUCUGUUUACCACCAAAGAAGUGACUGUAGAAAGGCAGAAUUGACAGGCUCUCUCUGGAAAAGGAACGUGUAUCUGCAUAGUCUUCAGUCAAAAUAGUUUCUCAUCAGAGAAACUUACUUAACCAAAUGCCAGCAGUGAUGACAACCGGCAGCGCUAAUUACACAUGACAGAGUACAAGACAGCAUUUUUCCAUCCUACCAGAUGCUUCCACUGCUGUGGGCUCCCUUGUCUGUGAAUCUCUGCCCCCGGUAGAACUUGGGCACAAGGAAGGCAGAGCAAUGAAAGUGUUCCACGGGUGAAAGAUCCUGAAACCAUAUUUGUGUUGUGCAGCUAGAGCAUAAAAACAAGAUGUGGCCAUACACUGAUAAGGAUGUCACUAAUGAGAUACUAGUAGACUAAAACAUCACGUUGUUGAAAAUGAAUAAAUAAAUAAGUAGCAAA